rnacentral:rRNA from 1 species
CCUACGGGUGGCAGCAGUGGGGGAUAUUGCACAAUGGGGGAAACCCUGAUGCAGCGACGCCGCGUGUGGGAAGACGGUCCUCUGGAUUGUAAACCACUGUCCCCAGGGACGAAGAUGACGGUAGCUGGGGAGGAUGCUCCGGCUAACUGCGUGCCAGCAGCCGCGGUACUACGCAGGGGGCGAGCGUUGUCCGGAAUUACUGGGUGUAAAGGGAGCGUAGGCGGGGAUGCAGGUUGGGGGUCAAAACUACCGGCUCAACUGGUAGUCGCACUCAAAACUGCAGCUCUUGAGUGAAGUAGAGGCAGGCGGAAUUCCUAGUGUAGCGGUGAAAUGCGUAGAUAUUGGGAAGAACACCAGUGGCGAAGGCGGCCUGCUGGGCUUUUACUGACGCUGAGGCUCGAAAGUGUGGGUAGCGAACAGGAUUAGAUACCCCAGUAGUC